GAAGAAAGAGUCUGUAUUGGCUCUCCUUCAUUCAAUCACUAAUCAUUCGAGCAACCACUGUCAGUGUCUCCGAACAAGCGUUGAUGAGGGCAUAACAAGCAACUUCACGGUUUGUACUGUUCAUUGGUCAAAUCAAAAGAAGGAAGAGAUGAAUGGAGAAUGCAGCACGCAUGGGAGAAAACAUAUACAAUUGUAAACGGGAAACCUGUCAAGGAGAGGCCACUGAGACCAGACGCAGAUAGGAAGAUAAAAUUAAAAAAAUAUUCAUGAAGGAAAACAGAGUAAGGAUCUGGAACGGAUUCAUGUGGCUCAGGAAAGUGCCCGUUGGCUGACUCUUGUGAACAUGAUACUGAAAUGUCUCGUUCUAUAAAGGAUGCACCCAACCUUUUGAAAAUGUAACUAUAAUUCCGAAUUACCAAUGUAAUUAAAAUCAAAUGAAACUUC